UAUACUGGUCCACCAAACUCGA
rnacentral:siRNA from 1 species